UAUUUCUUCCUGGGAGGUUUUGUUUUGGAGACCAUUUUCUUCCUCAAGGAUUCUUCUCCAUCCUCCCGACCACUUAACCCUUUUUGUUGGGAUUCUCGGUACCGGCGGCAGCUAGGAGAAGGGAGUUCCUGGUUUUGGGUUCUUCACCGAGUUUCCAGAUUCCUGCAUGAGUGUAUGCUGCCAUUAGAAGCCUGUAAAGUCAUCUUUGAACUCCUGUGUCCAAAUCGUAGGACACCUUUGUUGUGAUUGUCGUAGCGAGCCUUAGUCGUGGGACUUGGUGAACCCGGCAUUAUAGCUCGGAACCAGUACAUCUGCAUUCCUGGCUCGCCCAGCUAGGAGGAGUAAGUCCUAGCCAUGUGCACAUGUUUUCUGUAGUAGCGCUACCCCUCGACUGCUGUCGAAGAUCCGGCUUCGGCUGUUGAUACUCUGUCCUGUUCUGUCCCUAUUUCACAAUCGAUGAUCCAGCCUCGUGCUGUCGAUUUCUGUUAUUAGCCAGGAAGAUGUACAUGACUGUUCUGCGUGUUUUCCUUAUUUUGGAUUAUUUCUGUAUUCUACAUAUUUUUCUGUAUUUUGUACGAAUUAUAAUCUGUUAUUCUGCAAUAUCUGCUUUAUCUGUUGAUUCUGCGAUCCUUCUGGGCCCUUGUGGCU